ACACAUUCCCAGCUGUGAGAAGGUGCUGGCUGUGUCACCUGCAGCCCUGUCAAUCAUCAGAAUUGACAUGGUGGGACUGGCCAGCAAGCCAUGGCCUCUUCCUCCCUCUCUUCUGUAUGUUGAUGCCUGCUGAAAUUGCAUUCUGAACUAAAUAAAGAAUGCUCCCUGAAGACAAGCGGGUGCCAGUGUCUGGGUUUUUCCAAGCCUGGCCCUGGUCCUAGCCCCAGUAGUUCCCCACUGGGGCGGUGGGUGGGGAGACAUCAGCACAGCCAGUCAGCAGGUCAGUGUGAUACAAACUCUUCAAUGCCUGACAAAUGGGGUAUUGGUCAUUGGUGGCAAUGUGUGAAUUCUGACAGCAUCAUGUGGACAGCAGGUGACUCGUGUAGAUGGACAUCAAAAUGUAAAGAGACAUCGAGUAGAAACAGAAGCUACAAGAGCCUCACACCCAGACUUGCCCUGUGAGCCUGUUGGACCAAAUCGGCCUCAGCACCCCUAAGCCCACCAUGGUUGGGGAGAGAGUGAGCACGGGAGGCAGAGGAAGAAUCAUCUCACCUCUCAUCAAAUAGAGGGCAGUAAAACUUUAGCUAAUUAGCAACCAGUUGCCAGAGAGUAUUAUUUAAUUAAUUCCCCCAUCUGAAUUCACUUUUAUUGGAAAGAGGCAACCACAAGAAAACAAGAUGAGAAGCAGAGACUUAAUGUAAAAAAUAACUUUGGGGGAAAGUCGCCUUCAUGUCACUUCUCUGCUUAAAACCCGUCAAUGGUGUCUUAGCAAUUUCAGGAUAAAGCUCAAAUCUCAUAACUUAGUAUAUAACUCAUCACACCCUACUUGACCAGUAGUACUGAGAUUUUUGCACUUUCCAGAUAUGUUAUGCUCUCUUGCUCUCUUACCUCCACUUGGGGCCCCUUCUGCCCCUCCUCAUCCCAAGUCAUAUCCUCUGGACAGUUUCCCAGGCCCUAGACUGUGUUUGAGCCUCUGCGAUAACACUUAUUAUAUUAUGCAUUAAUAGCAAGAGAGGCUGGUAUGACCAGCCAGCCCAUGGGCUCCUCAGGCCUGAUUCACUGUAGCAUCCAUGAGGUCAGCCACAUGGGAGGAGGUUGGUGAACGCAUCUUGAACUCAUGCAUUCAUAACGUGAUGACUCAGUGAAGGAAAUGGGGUCAGUUUCAUUGUCCCGCAGCCCACCCAAUCCAAUGAUUACCUCUACAACAUAAAAUACGACUUGCAUUUACCAAGCUUCUCUCACUUGUAAAGUGGAGAUCAUACAGUCCACCUGAUGCUCCUUAUGAGGGGAAAUGAGCUAAUACACAUAAAAAGCAGUGCCUGGCACUCCAAGAGUGCUUAAUGAAUGUUAGCUAUUAUUCUGCACAAAUAAGUUGAUAGUGGCCCAUCCCAGUACUGUUCUGGAAACAAGUAAGUGAAAGUGAUUUCCUCUGUUGUUAGAAUCACCAUUAGCAACUAGUUAGUGAAAAUGCUUCCAGAACACAAUGUCUGGGAGAGGGGUGGGCUGGGUAGGCCAGGAGAAUAUCUCAGUCAGACCUGGGAUCAGGAAUCAGACUUUUAGGGUUCACCAGGACUCUCUACUCAGGCUGUUGGUGUUGCCAGAUGUCAAGGUUGGAUUGGGGAAAUGGUAGUCAGGCAGGGAUGGAGGAAACUCCUAGAAGAGCCCGUGCCGAUCUCUAGCUAGGCUUUAUUUAAGUUAUGGGAAGGAAUCCAUGCUGGGUAAAUGAGGUAAUGAAUGUGCAAGUGCUUUGCAAACUGCAAAGUGCUAUACAAAUGUGAAGCAUUAUUACACUCAUCUAUUUCUCUUCUUUGUGUUCCCAGGGUUUCCUAAUAAGAGCUCUUUUUGAAAGUCCUAGCCUGACUUUGGGUAACUAAAAGGAAAGGGUGUGUGCAGUGUGGUAAAUUGGGGGUUUUAUGUACCCUGAGUAUAGCAGAGGUCCUGGCAGGGAGAGCAGAGACUUGCUGGCAACAGGAAUUGGGGAGUGAAGAUGCUGAACGUCACACAGUGAUUAAUCCCUUCCGAUCUGGGAUGUUUUCCAGUUCCAGGGGCCAUCCUGGAGCUGCUCAAACCAUUCUAGAGAGACAGGAUGGCCUGAGCUGAGAAGGGUGGGAGCAAACCCAGGGUCCUCGUGGCUGAGAGUAAGUGCAGGCUGUCAUGGGAAAAGUUCUCAUCCCUGAGUCUGCAUUUGUAACUCAGUCACCCAGCCUGGCUCAGCACAAUGCAAACCAUUUCCAGCUGCUUUGUGUAAGGAAUAAGGACUGGCUUGAGAAGAAGGGAAGAGAUCUGCCCCUAAUAUCCCUGAUUAUCUCAGCAGCAUGGAUUCACCAGCCUGAUUUGCUGCUUCUUCCUGCAUCCAGCCUGCUCCUGGGUCUCCUUCCCCACCUCACAGCCAUGGCAACCAAAUGCACGGGCUUGUGAAGACCAGCAGCCCAACUUCAGCAAGGUCUCGCUGGCCUGGACAGAAGAGCCAAGGUACCAGAUCCAUUUCCAAGGCAAAAGUCCCCAAGUUUACAGUUAAACUCAACUUGCUUAUUUGUGGAUUUUGCUGGGGCACAGUAGCCCCACCUAAAGGGAGUCACAUGAAAUCUUAGCCUUUUACUUGUCACAGAGUAUAAGAAUAAAACCUUUGAUGAUUGAACGGAUUAUCCUCAGGAUAACAUCUGUGAUUCUUCAUGAGAGUUAUGUCUUCUUAAACCCUUGGAAGCUGUCAACACUACAGAUUUCCCAAAGCACCAAGCUGCAAACAGCAGAUUGCUCUCAAGCAAUGAUGCUGAAGCAUGAAGCAAGAAUCAUGUUCCCAUAUCAGUGUUUUCACUGCUCUGAACCCAGCACCUAGCACAGCUCCUGAUAGAGCUGUGUCAAACAUGACAGAACUCCUGAUAGAGCUGAGAGUCAACAUGUCCGUUCAAUGAGUGAAUAGGAGUGGGCUAUCCCAAUGCAAAUUUCAAAGCUCUCAGCAAGACAAGGUGGAGAUGAAUUACCAUGUGCAUGGAGAGAAGCCAU
ensembl:lncRNA novel transcript, antisense to CELF4